UUAAGCGACUAAGCGUACACGGUGGAUGCCCUGGCAGUCAGAGGCGAUGAAGGACGUGCUAAUCUGCGAUAAGCGUCGGUAAGGUGAUAUGAACCGUUAUAACCGGCGAUUUCCGAAUGGGGAAACCCAGUGUGAUUCGUCACACUAUCAUUAACUGAAUCCAUAGGUUAAUGAGGCGAACCGGGGGAACUGAAACAUCUAAGUACCCCGAGGAAAAGAAAUCAACCGAGAUUCCCCCAGUAGCGGCGAGCGAACGGGGAGCAGCCCAGAGCCUGAAUCAGUGUGUGUGUUAGUGGAAGCGUCUGGAAAGGCGUGCGAUACAGGGUGACAGCCCCGUACACAAAAAUGCACAUACUGUGAGCUCGAUGAGUAGGGCGGGACACGUGGUAUCCUGUCUGAAUAUGGGGGGACCAUCCUCCAAGGCUAAAUACUCCUGACUGACCGAUAGUGAACCAGUACCGUGAGGGAAAGGCGAAAAGAACCCCGGCGAGGGGAGUGAAAAAGAACCUGAAACCGUGUACGUACAAGCAGUGGGAGCCUCUUAAUGGGGUGACUGCGUACCUUUUGUAUAAUGGGUCAGCGACUUAUAUUCUGUAGCAAGGUUAACCGAAUAGGGGAGCCGAAGGGAAACCGAGUCUUAACUGGGCGUUAAGUUGCAGGGUAUAGACCCGAAACCCGGUGAUCUAGCCAUGGGCAGGUUGAAGGUUGGGUAACACUAACUGGAGGACCGAACCGACUAAUGUUGAAAAAUUAGCGGAUGACUUGUGGCUGGGGGUGAAAGGCCAAUCAAACCGGGAGAUAGCUGGUUCUCCCCGAAAGCUAUUUAGGUAGCGCCUCGUGAAUUCAUCUCCGGGGGUAGAGCACUGUUUCGGCAAGGGGGUCAUCCCGACUUACCAACCCGAUGCAAACUGCGAAUACCGGAGAAUGUUAUCACGGGAGACACACGGCGGGUGCUAACGUCCGUCGUGAAGAGGGAAACAACCCAGACCGCCAGCUAAGGUCCCAAAGUCAUGGUUAAGUGGGAAACGAUGUGGGAAGGCCCAGACAGCCAGGAUGUUGGCUUAGAAGCAGCCAUCAUUUAAAGAAAGCGUAAUAGCUCACUGGUCGAGUCGGCCUGCGCGGAAGAUGUAACGGGGCUAAACCAUGCACCGAAGCUGCGGCAGCGACACUAUGUGUUGUUGGGUAGGGGAGCGUUCUGUAAGCCUGUGAAGGUGUACUGUGAGGUAUGCUGGAGGUAUCAGAAGUGCGAAUGCUGACAUAAGUAACGAUAAAGCGGGUGAAAAGCCCGCUCGCCGGAAGACCAAGGGUUCCUGUCCAACGUUAAUCGGGGCAGGGUGAGUCGACCCCUAAGGCGAGGCCGAAAGGCGUAGUCGAUGGGAAACAGGUUAAUAUUCCUGUACUUGGUGUUACUGCGAAGGGGGGACGGAGAAGGCUAUGUUGGCCGGGCGACGGUUGUCCCGGUUUAAGCGUGUAGGCUGGUUUUCCAGGCAAAUCCGGAAAAUCAAGGCUGAGGCGUGAUGACGAGGCACUACGGUGCUGAAGCAACAAAUGCCCUGCUUCCAGGAAAAGCCUCUAAGCAUCAGGUAACAUCAAAUCGUACCCCAAACCGACACAGGUGGUCAGGUAGAGAAUACCAAGGCGCUUGAGAGAACUCGGGUGAAGGAACUAGGCAAAAUGGUGCCGUAACUUCGGGAGAAGGCACGCUGAUAUGUAGGUGAAGUCCCUCGCGGAUGGAGCUGAAAUCAGUCGAAGAUACCAGCUGGCUGCAACUGUUUAUUAAAAACACAGCACUGUGCAAACACGAAAGUGGACGUAUACGGUGUGACGCCUGCCCGGUGCCGGAAGGUUAAUUGAUGGGGUUAGCGGUAACGCGAAGCUCUUGAUCGAAGCCCCGGUAAACGGCGGCCGUAACUAUAACGGUCCUAAGGUAGCGAAAUUCCUUGUCGGGUAAGUUCCGACCUGCACGAAUGGCGUAAUGAUGGCCAGGCUGUCUCCACCCGAGACUCAGUGAAAUUGAACUCGCUGUGAAGAUGCAGUGUACCCGCGGCAAGACGGAAAGACCCCGUGAACCUUUACUAUAGCUUGACACUGAACAUUGAGCCUUGAUGUGUAGGAUAGGUGGGAGGCUUUGAAGUGUGGACGCCAGUCUGCAUGGAGCCGGCCUUGAAAUACCACCCUUUAAUGUUUGAUGUUCUAACGUUGGCCCCUGAUCGGGGUUGCGGACAGUGUCUGGUGGGUAGUUUGACUGGGGCGGUCUCCUCCUAAAGAGUAACGGAGGAGCACGAAGGUUGGCUAAUCCUGGUCGGACAUCAGGAGGUUAGUGCAAUGGCAUAAGCCAGCUUGACUGCGAGCGUGACGGCGCGAGCAGGUGCGAAAGCAGGUCAUAGUGAUCCGGUGGUUCUGAAUGGAAGGGCCAUCGCUCAACGGAUAAAAGGUACUCCGGGGAUAACAGGCUGAUACCGCCCAAGAGUUCAUAUCGACGGCGGUGUUUGGCACCUCGAUGUCGGCUCAUCACAUCCUGGGGCUGAAGUAGGUCCCAAGGGUAUGGCUGUUCGCCAUUUAAAGUGGUACGCGAGCUGGGUUUAGAACGUCGUGAGACAGUUCGGUCCCUAUCUGCCGUGGGCGCUGGAGAACUGAGGGGGGCUGCUCCUAGUACGAGAGGACCGGAGUGGACGCAUCACUGGUGUUCGGGUUGUCAUGCCAAUGGCACUGCCCGGUAGCUAAAUGCGGAAGAGAUAAGUGCUGAAAGCAUCUAAGCACGAAACUUGCCCCGAGAUGAGUUCUCCCUGACUCCUUGAGAGUCCUGAAGGAACGUUGAAGACGACGACGUUGAUAGGCCGGGUGUGUAAGCGCAGCGAUGCGUUGAGCUAACCGGUACUAAUGAACCGUGAGGCUUAACCUU
rnacentral:rRNA from 1 species